UGGGGAAUUUUGGACAAUGGCGAAAGCCUGAUCCAGCCAUGCCGCGUGAGUGAAGAAGGCCUUCGGGUUGUAAAGCUCUUUUAGUCGGAAAGAAAGAGUUGCAAUGAAUAAUUGUGAUUUAUGACGGUACCGACAGAAAAAGCACCGGCUAACUACGUGCCAGCAGCCGCGGUCAUACGUAGGGUGCGAGCGUUAAUCGGAAUUACUGGGCGUAAAGGGUGCGCAGGCGGUCUUGCAAGUCAGAUGUGAAAGCCCCGGGCUUAACCUGGGAAUUGCGUUUGAAACUACAAGGCUAGAGUGCAGCAGAGGGGAGUGGAAUUCCAUGUGUAGCAGUGAAAUGCGUAGAGAUGUGGAAGAACACCGAUGGCGAAGGCAGCUCCCUGGGUUGACACUGACGCUCAUGCACGAAAGCGUGGGGAGCAAACA
rnacentral:rRNA from 1 species